rnacentral:lncRNA from 1 species
UUGACUUGAGACUCCCCCAUCAAAACUCUACCAUCCUCGCCCUUGAUGCACCUAACUUGGUCAAGAUCACGCGCCUUCAUUUCCCUUGCUUUUAGCUAACCGGAAUAACUUCCUGUCCCCGCCUUUCUCCCCUAAUUCUUCGUACACGCGACCAAAUGCCGCGUUUUUAGCUUCCGUAACCGCCAACUUUGCUUUUUUCCUUGCCAUCUUGUAGAUCUCCCUGUUCGCUCUUCGUUCUUCCUCGCUUGUGCUCCCUGCCAACUUAGCAACCGCCUUCUUCACCUCCACUUUUCCUUCAACUACAUCGUUCCACCACCAGUCACCCUGAUGCCUGCCUGAAUAGCCCUUGGCUACCCCGAGCNNNN